rnacentral:rRNA from 1 species
UACGUAUGGUGCAAGCGUUAUCCGGAUUUACUGGGUGUAAAGGGAGCGUAGGCGGCGCGUUAAGUCUGAUGUGAAAACCCGAGGCUCAACCACGGGAGUGCAUUGGAAACUGGCGAGCUGGAGUGCCGGAGAGGUAAGCGGAAUUCCUAGUGUAGCGGUGAAAUGCGUAGAUAUUAGGAGGAACACCAGUGGCGAAGGCGGCUUACUGGACGGCAACUGACGCUGAGGCCCGAAAGCGUGGGGAGCAAACAGG